CAUGGAGUUUGAUCCUGGCUCAGGAUGAACGCUAGCGGCAGGCUUAACGCAUGCAAGUCGAGGGGUAUAGUUCUUCGGAGCUAGAGACCGGCGCACGGGUGCGUAACGCGUAUGCAAUCUGCCUUUUACAGAGGGAUAGCCCAGAGAAAUUUGGAUUAAUACCUCAUAGUAUGUGAGAAUCGCAUGGUUUUCACAUUAAAGUUCCAACGGUAAAAGAUGAGCAUGCGUCCCAUUAGCUAGUUGGUGGGGUAAAACGCCACCAAGGCGACGAUCUGUAGCUGGUCUGAGAGGA
rnacentral:rRNA from 1 species